rnacentral:tRNA from 1 species
GGGGCUGUGGCUCAGUGGUAGAGCACUUAACCUAGCAUGUGUGAGGCACUGGGUUCAAUCUCCAGCACCACA